rfam:Trachymyrmex septentrionalis contig9394, whole genome shotgun sequence.
ACAAUGGCUCUUUUCAGGGCCACAUAAAAUACCAUAGCCCUCUUCAG